rnacentral:lncRNA from 1 species
UGGUGCACAAAAACUACAUGGCUGGAGAAACAUUCGAAACUUAAUAUGAAAAUCAUUGUAGUAAAAGCCUCUUUGGCACUCUUUCCUUUAAGAAAGGAAAUGAGGGGGGAACUGUGGCAUGCUUUCUCUCACAGCAUCGAUUAGAACCUCUCUAUCAUUUUAUCAUAAGUCGUCCCUGUAUACAAAUUGUUUUCAGUGGAAUAUUGUCAAUAUCAUGCUGUAUAGUUUGCCCAAUGAAAUUUAAUAUUUGUUGCAGUGAAUUGGAAAUUUAGUCCCUUCUUUAUUUCUCAUUCACAUUCUUAUAGGCCCUAUAGCAUUGGCACAAGUAAAGCCUAAAAAGAGAAUAUAUUUUUGGUUUUUACCUAGAACCAUUAGUUUAAAUCUGUAUUAGAAGCAUUUUGUAAUUUUGUCAAAACUUACUUUAACAACAACUACAUCCUCAGAAAAGAGAGUUUAGCAUUAGAUCUGCCACAUGUAUUAGCUUUCGUUGACAAGACUUCCUAGAUACUCCCUCCGUCUCAAUUUAUAGGUCCAUUUUGGAAUAAACACACAUAUUAAGAAAAAAGUUGGUUAGAUGGAAUCUUAUCUCAUGUAUCAUUAAUUAGUGCAUUGAUAAGUGAGAAUAUUGUUGAGUUUCAAAAAAAUCACAAUAAAUAUAGGGAUUUAGUGCAUUGAGAAAUGAGAAUAAUGUUGAGUUUCAAAAAAAUCACAAUUAAUAUGUAGAUAAAUUUGUAUUGAGAGAAGAGAGGGACAAGUAUUUUGGGACAAUUUUUUUUUCCAAAAUGGACAUAUAAAUUGAGACGGAGGGAGUAUUAUAUAAACGGUUCGGUUUCGGUUCGGUUUUAGGGAUAAAACCGUAACCGUUACCAAACCGUUAUUUCGGUUCGGUUCGGUUACGGUUUUUUCCGGUUUUUGUCGGUUACGGUUUUUUUCGGUUUGGUUUUUCGGUUUUUCGGCUCGGUUUCGGUUUUCCGGUUUUUGUUUGCUCACCCCUUGCUGGCAGCCUAUAUAUUACUAAUCUAAAUGAAGUGAUGUAAACUUCUGUUGCAGAUUACAGACGGAUGGUGCACAAAAACUACAUGGCUGGAGAAACAUUCGAAACUUAAUAUGAAAAUCAUUGUAGUAAAAGCCUCUUUGGCCCUCUUUCCUUUAAGAAAGGAAAUGAGGGGGGAACUGUGGCAUGCUUUCUCUCACAGCAUCGAUUAGAACCUCUCUAUCAUUUUAUCAUAAGUCGUCCCUGUAUACAAAUUGUUUUCAGUGGAAUAUUGUCAAUAUCAUGCUGUAUAGUUUGCCCAAUGAAAUUUAAUAUUUGUUGCAGUGAAUUGGAAAUUUAGUCCCUUCUUUAUUUCUCAUUCACAUUCUUAUAGGCCCUAUAGCAUUGGCACAAGUAAAGCCUAAAAAGAGAAUAUAUUUUUGGUUUUUACCUAGAACCAUUAGUUUAAAUCUGUAUUAGAAGCAUUUUGUAAUUUUGUCAAAACUUACUUUAACAACAACUACAUCCUCAGAAAAGAGAGUUUAGCAUUAGAUCUGC